rnacentral:rRNA from 1 species
UGCCUUAGUAGCGGCGAGUGAAGCGGCAAGAGCUCAAAUUUGAAAUCUGGUACCUUCGGUGCCCGAGUUGUAAUUUGAAGAAAGCUAUCUUGGAUUUGGCCUUUGUCUAUGUUCCUUGGAACAGGACGUCACAGAGGGUGAGAAUCCCGUGCGAUGAGGUGUCCAUUUCUAUGUAAGAUGUUUUCGAAGAGUCGAGUUGUUUGGGAAUGCAGCUCUAAGUGGGUGGUAAAUUCCAUCUAAAGCUAAAUAUUGGCGAGAGACCGAUAGCGAACAAGUACAGUGAUGGAAAGAUGAAAAGAACUUUGAAAAGAGAGUGAAAAAGUACGUGAAAUUGUUGAAAGGGGAAGGGGUAUUAGAUCAGACUUGGGUAUUUAGUUAUCAUUACUCCUUGUGGGUGGUGCUCUAACUUUUUACUGGGCCAGCAUCAGUUUUGAUGGCAGGAUAAUGACAUUUGAACGUGGC